rnacentral:rRNA from 1 species
UACGUAGGGCGCAAGCGUUAUCCGGAAUUAUUGGCGUAAAGAGCUCGUAGGCGGUUUGGUCGCGUCUGCCGUGAAAGUCCGGGGCUCAACUCCGGAUCUGCGGUGGGUACGGGCAGACUAGAGUGAUGUAGGGGAGACUGGAAUUCCUGGUGUAGCGGUGAAAUGCGUAGAGAUCAGGAAGAACACCCGUGGCGAAGGCGGCCCACUGGGCCGGUGCUGACGCCUGAGGCGCGAAAGCGUGGGGAGCAAACAGG